CGGUCGCUUGGGUGGUAUGGUUCCCCAGGGGCCGGUUCUUGUGCUGCGUACCCCCUCAAGGGAAGCAGGCCGCUUUGAUGUAAGCCUCCAUCCGGCGCCUCCCAAUGGGCGCAGGAGGACAACGGAGCACCCCCCGCGUUCCACCGAGCCUUCGUCGGUCGCGUGGCCCGCGGGGACGUGCGAUGCUCUCGGACCCAGCGCACGCCGUGGGCGAGGACUCACGUCCCGGUCCCAAGAGAAGCUUCGGUACAACGCAUGACGGCCGCUCCCGCACCCCGACCGCCCCGGCGGCGCGGGGGCGAGGCGCGGCGUCGCGGAGGAAUGCUACCU
rnacentral:misc_RNA from 1 species